AACGUAGGACGCAAGCGUUAUCCGGAGUUACUGGGCGUAAAGCGCGGGCAGGCGGUUUUGCCAGUCUGAUGUGAAAUCUCUCAGCUCAACUGGGAGCAGCCAUUGGAAACUACAGAACUGGAGUCUGACAGAGGUAGGCGGAAUUCCGGGUGGAGUGGUGAAAUGCGUAGAGAUCCGGAGGAACACCAGAGGCGAAGGCGGCCUACUGGGUCAGUACUGACGCUGAGACGCGAAAGCGUGGGGAGCGAACCGG
rnacentral:rRNA from 1 species